rnacentral:sRNA from 1 species
AUCUAGCCCCGAUUGAAGCGGGCACGAAGUAAAGCGGAAAGCGGGAAGAAAG